GACGAACGCUGGCGGCGUGCUUAACACAUGCAAGUCGAACGGAAAGGCCUGCUUUCCCUUGUGGAUUGCGGGUACUCGAGUGGCGAACGGGUGAGUAACACGUGAGUGAUCUGCCCCCAACUUGGGUAUAAGCCUGGGAAACUGGGUCUAAUUCCCGAUAGGACUGCAGGGUGGUGCCUGUGGUGGAAAACGAUUUUCUAGUGGUUGGGGAUGAGCUCGCGGCCUAUCAGCUUGUUGGUGGGGUAAUGGCCUACCAAGGCGGCGACGGGUAGCCGGCCUGGGAGGGUGGACGGCCACAUUGGGACUGAGAUACGGCCCAGACUCCUACGGGAGGCAGCAGUGGGGAAUAUUGCACAAUGGGCGGAAGCCUGAUGCAGCGACGCCGCGUGGGGGAUGACGGCCUUCGAGUUGUAAACUCCUUUCGACCGCGAGGAAGCCACCUGGUUGGAAGGGUGGUGACGGUAGUGGUAGAAGAAGCACCGGCUAACUACGUG
rnacentral:rRNA from 1 species